UACGUAGGUGGCAAGCGUUGUCCGGAUUUACUGGGCGUAAAGGGCGUGCAGGCGGUUUGUUAAGUGCAGGGUGAAAGCUCCCGGCUCAACUGGGAGAGGUCCUUGCAUACUGGCGAACUCGAGGGAGGCAGAGGAAAGUGGAAUUCCCGGUGUAGAGGUGAAAUUCGUAGAUAUCGGGAGGAACACCGGUGGCGAAGGCGGCGACCUGGGUCGAGACUGACGCUGAGGCGCGAAAGCGUGGGGAGCAAACAGG
rnacentral:rRNA from 1 species